rnacentral:rRNA from 1 species
GAUGAACGCUAGCGGCAGGCUUAAUACAUGCAAGUCGUGGGGCAGCAUGAGUAGCAAUACUUGAUGGCGACCGGCAAACGGGUGAGGAACACGUACACAACCUUCCUUCAAGCGGGGAAUAGCCCAGAGAAAUUUGGAUUAAUACCCCAUAAUAUAUUUGAUAAGGCAUCUUAUUAAUAUUAAAGCUUCGGCACUUGAUGAUGGGUGUGCGGCUGAUUAGAUAGUUGGCGGGGUAACGGCCCACCAAGUCUACGAUCAGUAGCUGAUGUGAGAGCAUGAUCAGCCACACGGGCACUGAGACACGGGCCCGACUCCUACGGGAGGCAGCAGUAAGGAAUAUUGGACAAUGGACGAAAGUCUGAUCCAGCCAUGCCGCGUGAAGGAUUAAGGUCCCUCUGGAUUGUAAACUUCUUUUAUAUGGGACGAAAAAAGGGCAUUCUUGUUCACUUGACGGUACCAUAUGAAUAAGCACCGGCUAACUCCGUGCCAG